rnacentral:rRNA from 1 species
CAAUAGCGUAUAUUAAAGUUGUUGCAGUUAAAAAGCUCGUAGUUGGAUUUCUUGGAGGGUGCCAAUGUCCGCUACGGCGUGCGCAGCGGCGCCCUUCCAUCCUUCUGUUAACGCCUCUUGGCAUUCGUUUGCUGGUGGCGGGCUCAGAUAUUUUACCUUGAGAAAAUUAGAGUGUUUCAGGCAGGCUAGGCCGGAAUACAUUAGCAUGGAAUAAUGGAAUAGGACUACGGUCUCUUUGUUGGUUUGAGGGACUGCAGUAAUGAUUAAUAGGGAUAGUUGGGGGCAUUAGUAUUUAAUUGUCAGAGGUGGAAUUCUCAGAUUUGUUAAAGACUAACUUAUGCGAAAGCAUUUGCCAAGGAUGUUUUCAUUAA